rnacentral:rRNA from 1 species
CAAUAGCGUAUAUUUAAGUUGUUGCAGUUAAAAAGCUCGUAGUUGGAUUUCGGGUGGGACGCAGCGGUCUCGCAUUGCGUUUGUACUGCUGCAGCCCUCCUUCUUGCCGGGGGCGGCCUCUCGGACUUCACUGUCUGGGGGUCAGAAUCGGCGAUGUUACUUUGAGUAAAUUAGAGUGUUCAAAGCAAGCUUACGCUCUGAAUAUAAUAGCAUGGGAUAACACGACAGGACUCUGGCCUAUCGUGUUGGUCUAUAGGACCAGAGUAAUGAUUAAGAGGGACAGUCGGGGGCAUUCGUAUUCCGUUGUCAGAGGUGAAAUUCUUAGAUUUAUGGAAGACGAACAUCUGCGAAAGCAUUUGCCAAGGAUGUUUUCAUUG